rfam:Spinacia oleracea cultivar SynViroflay scaffold5459.con0012.1, whole genome shotgun sequence.
AUAGUGUGGUGCAGUGAUGAAGCUUUGUGGACUAGAGUUUCUGACCUUUUUGGUUUGAAGACAACCCCUUGGCUGUCUGAGCACUUAU